rnacentral:rRNA from 1 species
AUUGAACGCUGUCGGCAGGCCCAACACAGGCAAGUCGCACGAGUGGCGGACGGGUGAUUAAUGCCUGGGAAACUGCCCUAUGGAGGGGGAUAAUUACUGGAAACGGUACCUAAUACCGCAUACCAUCGGAUGUGCCCAGAUGGGAUUAGCUAGUAGGUGGGGUAACGGCUCACCUAGGCGACGAUCCCUAGCUGUUCUGAGAGGAUGACCAGCUCGACUGGAACUGAGACACGGUACAGACUCCUACGGGGGGCGGCAGGGGGGAAUAUUGCACAGUGGGCACAAGCCUGAUGCAGCCAUGCCGGGUGUAUGAAAAAGGACUUGGGGUUGUAGAGUACGUUAAGCGAGGGGGCGUUGAUCGCAGAGGAGGCAACGGCUAAAUUCGUGCCAGCAGCCGCGGUAAUAC